GGACCCGCACAAGUAGUGGAGCAUGUGGUUUAAUUCGAAGAUACGCGCAGAACCUUACCAACACUUGACAUGUUCGUCGCGACUUUAAGAGAUUAAAGUUUUCGGUUCGGCCGGACGAAACACAGGUGCUGCAUGGCUGUCGUCAGCUCGUGUCGUGAGAUGUUGGGUUAAGUCCCGCAACGAGCGCAACCCUCACUUUUAGUUGCCAUCAUUUAGUUGGGCACUCUGAAAGAACUGCCAGUGAUAAGCUGGAGGAAGGUGGGGAUGACGUCAAGUCCUCAUGGCCCUUACGUGUUGGGCUACACACGUGCUACAAUGGCAUUUUACAAUAGGAAGCAAGACUGCGAAGUU
rnacentral:rRNA from 1 species